AGUGAACGCUGGCGGUAGGCCUAACACAUGCAAGUCGAACGGCAGCACAGGAGAGCUUGCUCUCUGGGUGGCGAGUGGCGGACGGGUGAGGAAUACAUCGGAAUCUACCUUUUCGUGGGGGAUAACGUAGGGAAACUUACGCUAAUACCGCAUACGACCUACGGGUGAAAGUGGGGGACCGCAAGGCCUCACGCGAUUAGAUGAGCCGAUGUCCGAUUAGCUAGUUGGCGGGGUAAUGGCCACCAAGGCGACGAUCGGUAGCUGGUCUGAGAGGAUGAUCAGCCACACUGGAACUGAGACACGGUCCAGACUCCUACGGGAGGCAGCAGUGGGGAAUAUUGGACAAUGGGCGCAAGCCUGAUCCAGCCAUACCGCGUGGGUGAAGAAGGCCUUCGGGUUGUAAAGCCCUUUUGUUGGGAAAGAAAUCCUGUCGAUUAAUACUCGGUGGGGAUGACGGUACCCAAAGAAUAAGCACCGGCUAACUUCGUGCCAGCAGCCGCCGUAAAAC
rnacentral:rRNA from 1 species